UCUGGCUCAGAACGAACGCUGGCGGCAGGCCUAACACACGCAAGUCGAACGCUGUAGCAAUACAGAGUGGCAGACGGGUGCGGAACACGUGGGAACAUGCCCUUUGGUUCGGAAUAACACAGAGAAAUUUGUGCUAAUACCGGAUAAGCCCUUAUGGGGAAAGAUUUAUCGCCGAAGGAUUGGCCCGCGUCCGAUUAGCUGGGUUGGUGAGGUAAUGGCUCACCAAGGCGACGAUCGGUAGCUGGUCUGAGAGGAUGAUCAGCCACAUUGGGACUGAGACACGGCCCAAACUCCUACGGGAGGCAGCAGUGGGGAAUAUUGGACAAUGGGCGCAAGCCUGAUCCCAGCCAUGCCGCGUGAGUGAUGACGGCCUUAGGGUUGUAAAGCUCUUUCACCCACGACGAUAAUGACGGUAGUGGGAGAAGAAGCCCCGGCUAACUUCGUGCCAGCCGCUGC
rnacentral:rRNA from 1 species